rnacentral:rRNA from 1 species
CCUACGGGAGGCUGCAGUGAGGAAUAUUGGUCAAUGGGCGCGAGCCUGAACCAGCCAAGUCGCGUGAAGGAAGACGGCCCUAUGGAUUGUAAACCUCUUUUUUAGGGGAGCAAAACGCGCCACGCGUGGCUUUCUGAGAGUACCCUAAGAAAAAGCAUCGGCUAACUCCGUGCCAGCAGCCGCGGUAAUACGGCGGAUGCGGGCGUUAUCCGGAUUUAUUGGGUUUAAAGGGGGCGGAGAUGGGAAGUCAAGUCAGGGGGGAAAAUGAGGAGCUCAACCGUCUGUGUGCAGUUGAAACUGGUUUUCUUGAGUGAGUGAGAGGUAGGCGGAAUGCGUGGUGUAGCGGUGAAAUGCAUAGAUAUCACGAAGAACUCCGAUUGCGAAGGCAGCAUACUGGAGCGCAACUGACGCUGAUGCACGAAAGUGUGGGUAUCGAACAGGAUUAGAUACCCGGGUAGUC